UAGUUUUAAGAUGCAUUGGUAGUCCCCAAAGUUGAAUCCAUAUAGGACAGUGAGAAAAAUCAAGGUUGUAUAUAUUUAUGUUCUUUUCUCGAGCAUGUAGGAUCAGGCAGCAAUUCCUUAUUAUCCAUGGGAUCCCUUUUUGAAUUCUUUUGAAAUCUGCAUCAUAUUUCAUAGCUAUUUGAUACAUAUUUCCUUGAAUUUCUGUGACUUUUAAACCAGUGGGAUUACACCAAAUUCCAGCCAGCGCAUUCUGAAUAGUUAUCUUUUGUAUAGGUUUAUCUGUCAAGAACUUGCCAAUGAAGCUGUUUUUGCAAGCUUCAAGGCCUUCUUGAGCAUCUGAAGUAUUGUAAGCAUAUACUAUGCAGUUGCUUAGUUUGUGGCAAGGAAAGACUCAAAACUAUGGUAGCAUGACUAACUAGAACUGUCUUAGUAAUUUGCUCUUUUUUUUUUCUUUUCAGAUGUUAGUUGUUGAAAUUUUUAAGAAAGCCUAAUCAAAAGCUUGGGUAUAGCAUAAGUAAAGGUUAUAAAGAUUUGCUAUGCCAUGAUAGAAGAUGGGUUGCUAUGGUGGCAUGAAACCUGUCUAAAUACUUACAAUUAAAG
rnacentral:lncRNA from 1 species